GAAAAGGAAGAGCUCAUGGGAAGUGCAUGCUCAUGGAACGCUAUGGUACUUGAGAAUCAUAUGUCCAUGUAUGGAAAGAGACUGCAACUUAUCCCUGAACAAAGAUAUUUGAAGUCCUGUAUGGAUGGAUAGAUAGGGACCAGAAUACCCGUGGGUUAGCCACAUGUUCCUGCAUUCAAGUUGUUCUUCUUGCUUGCGGCAGCCCCCCCCCCCUUAGGCUGAUACAUUCAGGAAACCAUCAAUGCCCCUACUCCCUAAGUCUGGGAUAGAAUCGACCUUCACAACGACCAUGGGGUGAGCUCCACACUAGGAUUCAUAACCUAACACACUGGGCACAGACUUGAAACAGAAGAUGGAGAAAGAAGAAAGAAAAGGGAAGUCAGAAAAACCCCACCCUGUUCCCAUUGACUAGAGGAGGGAUCCAGUUCAAAUUGGGGUUAUAAUGCUGUGACUCAACCAACCAGUAAAAUAUUGAAUAGUUAAAUGAUCAAGUUCAGACAAAAUGGGUUUUUUAUAUACCUUCACUUAUUAUUUCAUGGUCUAUGUGUAUUGUUCCAUAAGCACAAACUUCCUUGAGUUUUCAAUUGCUAAAUUAAAUAAUAUACCAAAAGCAUCCAGCUUAUUACUGAGUGUUCAAUGAAUGGUAGAACGUCUGCACACUUUUUUUUUAAGAGUGUAAGCAUCUCUGAU